UUCCAGUGCCGAAGACAUUGUCAGUCUGUG
rnacentral:piRNA from 2 species